rnacentral:rRNA from 2 species
GCAGCUAACGCGAUAAGUAGCCCGCCUGGGGAGUACGGUCCCAAGACUAAAACUCAAAUGAAUUGACGGGGGCCCGCACAAGCGGUGGAGCAUGUGGUUUAAUUCGAUGCAACGCGAAGACCCUUACCUGGCCUGACAUAGUAGAAACUUUCCAGAGAGGAGAGGGCCUUCGGGAAUCUACAUACAGGUGUGCAUGGCUGUCGUCAGCUCGUGUCGUGAGAUGUUGGGUUAAGUCCCGCAACGAGCGCAACCCUUUUCCUUACUUGCCAGCAUUUCGGAUGGGAACUUUAAGGAUACUGCCAGUGACAAACUGGAGGAAGGCGGGGACGACGUCAAGUCAUCAUGGCCCUUACGGCCAGGGCUACACACGUGCUACAAUGGUCGGUACAAAGGGUUGCUACACAGCGAUGUGAUGCUAAUCUCAAAAAGCCGAUCGUAGUCCGGAUCGCAGUCUGCAACUCGACUGCGUGAAGUCGGAAUCGCUAGUAAUCGCGGAUCAGAAUGCCGCGGUGAAUACGUUCCCGGGCCUUGUACACACCGCCCGUC